UCUGCAGGGCUGCAGCUGUUCUACGUGUGCAGGGACAGGGGAGGAAGGCCACCUCCAGCUCCUGCUUGGCUCCUAGUCUGAGGCAAGUGACGUCCCACCCAGAGGAGCCUGGGCAGCCAGGAAUGCCUGAGGAAUGUCCCGAAGAUCUCACCUAGAGGUGUGGGGGUUGUGAGGUGUUAGUUUGUACUUUGCCCUCAGCUUACCUUAGCUCUCUCAUCGUUUGGGGGAAAAAAAACCUGAAACACCUCCGAAAGGUCAAAUUUAGGCACCCACUAAAUAGUACCACUGCUGCUCAGAGACUCUAGGGGGUUCCCCGAAGCUGCCUCUGGCUCGCCCCGAAGUUCUGCCUCUGUGAUCUGGAAGAGCCGCAGGGAACAUCUGCUCCAUCUGGAGAAGGGGUCUCUUGACGGGAGAGAUACU